UGGGGAAUAUUGCACAAUGGGCGAAAGCCUGAUGCAGCGACGCCGCGUGAGUGAAGAAGGUCUUCGGAUCGUAAAACUCUGUCCUUGGUGAAGAAAAAAAUGACGGUAGCCAAGGAGGAAGCCCCGGCUAACUACGUGCCAGCAGCCGCGGUAAUACGUAGGGGGCGAGCGUUGUCCGGAUUUACUGGGCGUAAAGGGUGAGUAGGCGGUUAUAUAUGUCAGAUGUAAAAGGCGUAGGCUCAACUUACGUAAGCAUUUGAAACUGUAUAACUUGAGUGCAGGAGAGGUAAGUGGAAUUCCUAGUGUAGCGGUGAAAUGCGUAGAUAUUAGGAGGAACACCAGUGGCGAAGGCGACUUACUGGACUGUAACUGACGCUGAGUCACGAAAGCGUGGGUAGCA
rnacentral:rRNA from 1 species